GUUCCCUCACCUUUAAAAUAGGAAUAAUGGCAGUUCUUGUGAAGAUCGAAUGAACUGAUGCAUGUAAAGUGUCUGACACGUACAACACUCUCAAUGAGUAUUAGUGAUUAUAAUGAUAACCAGACCAUUUAACUGAGACAAAAUUUGGACUUAUUUUCACCAUCUUCUAACACUAUUCAACCAAUGUUUAUUGCCCAUAUACUAUGUAUUGGACAGAUGCAUUCCUUCCCAUAUCCUCAUUGUCAAAUAUGAUUUUCAAGGAAUGCUAAUGUAACAUAUGGAAAACACAACUAAUUCCCAUAAUGAAAAUGUCAUGCCAAAGGAUACACUCAUAAUUUCUUCUUUUUCUUUUCUUUUUUCAGUUUUCUUAAUUUCCUGAAAGUGAGAGAAAUGGCACUGUAAGUUCUGGGAAGGCACAUUGUGCUGUUUGGUCCAAUGACUGACUGUUCAUGAGCAUAUGGGAUCUGGCUAAAGAAUCAAGAUUUUCGGGGCCUCAGCAGGUGAUGAGAAAGGCAUGAGAACAGGCUGGAAGGAGAAUGAGGCACCGAGAGGCCCAAGCUGAAAGAAAUAAAGACUUCCAGUACAUCACCCUGACAGUAAAGAGCGAAGGAAAAGUGACGUCUGAGAACUGCAAUGUGUUCUGCUUGAACAAAAGGAAGUUGGGCUGUGAUAAUAUAAUUCUGGAUUCCAUGGAAUGUUGUGGCUCAGAGAGGCAAGAGAUAAAAGACAGAGAAACAAUAUAG
rnacentral:lncRNA from 1 species